rnacentral:rRNA from 1 species
UUAUAAGAGACAGCAGUCGCCGCGGUAAUACAGAGGGUGCGAGCGUUAAUCGGAUUUACUGGGCGUAAAGCGUGCGUAGGCGGCUUCUUAAGUCGGAUGUGAAAUCCCUGAGCUUAACUUAGGAAUUGCAUUCGAUACUGGGAAGCUAGAGUAUGGGAGAGGAUGGUAGAAUUCCAGGUGUAGCGGUGAAAUGCGUAGAGAUCUGGAGGAAUACCGAUGGCGAAGGCAGCCAUCUGGCCUAAUACUGACGCUGAGGUACGAAAGCAUGGGGAGCAAACAGGAUUAGAUACCCGCGUAGUCCCUGUCUCUUAUAC